rnacentral:rRNA from 2 species
UACGGAGGGUGCGAGCGUUAUCCGGAUUCACUGGGUUUAAAGGGUGCGUAGGUGGGAAUGUAAGUCAGUGGUGAAAUCUCUGAGCUUAACUCAGAAACUGCCAUUGAUACUAUGUUUCUUGAAUUUUCUGGAGGUCAGCGGAAUAUGUCAUGUAGCGGUGAAAUGCUUAGAUAUGACAUAGAACACCAAUUGCGAAGGCAGCUGACUACAGGGAUAUUGACACUGAGGCACGAAAGCGUGGGGAUCAAACAGG